rnacentral:rRNA from 1 species
UACGAAGGGUGCAAGCGCUACUCGGAAUUACUGGGCGUAAAGCGUGCGUAGGUGGUUCGUUAAGUCUGAUGUGAAAGCCCUGGGCUCAACCUGGGAAUGGCAUUGGAAACUGGCGACCUAGAGUGCGGUAGAGGGUAGUGGAAUUCCCGGUGUAGCAGUGAAAUGCGUAGAGAUCGGGAGGAACAUCCGUGGCGAAGGCGACUACCUGGACCAGCACUGACACUGAGGCACGAAAGCGUGGGGAGCAAACAGG